UUAAUAAUAGUACAACAUACUCUAAGACAUGUUUUGUUGCCACACUCCUGAGGAAGCCUGUUUGCAUAGGCCAAAAGUUUACAAGAAAGGGUGUGGCAGUAAUUUAUACAUAGGCCUAUGAAUGACUGUGGUUGAGACAUGAACUCAUGACAUGCAAACACCACAGUGGUUGCAGGAGCCUCUGUAUUGUCAGAGCCUUCUUCAUUGAAUGUUCUUUUCAGGAUCUCAUGAGGAACACUAUAUCCUGAGGGUCAAGAGAACCUCAAAGACAAAUAUUAGAACUCCUGGUCCUUUCUGAGGGUGACAGUCUAGUUUUCUUAAGCUAAACUUUGGGUCAUGGUGGUCUGAACUUAGCAUUUCUUCCACAGGAAUAUGUUCGCUCAAGCUGCUAAAUACCUGUGCUUAUUCAAGUUGUGUGUUGUUUGAUUUUUGUUUGUUUGUUUUGCUUUAUUUUUUUGGUAAGGGCAUAAUUGAAGAAGACAGAGUUGUAGAUGUAGUUAAGGGUAGCACACUGGAUGUGUACCCCAUCUCAGACUUUUGUUUCCAGCUGUUCAAACUUUGCCCUUCUUGGAUAUGAAGCAGAUCGAAGUCUACGCCAUUGAAUGUGCUCAGUAGACAUUCUUGUUCUUUGACAUUUGUUCUAGCAAAGGAGAAAAUACGUUUUAGAAUCGGCUAGUACCUUCCUGUGUUUUUUCACUGUAAACCAAAGCCUGUUUUUUCGAAGACAGCUGAAGUGUAGGCAAAGAUCACAAGUAGAUUCACCACCCCCAUCUCUGUCUAAUAUGUUACCUCACACACAGGCUUGGCCCCACUAAACAUAAAUGCUUUCAAUAAUUUGCUUCUGUUGUUUUCUGAAAACACAUUUGGUCAGAUAAAAGCAUCAUGAUAUAUAAUUUCUUUGGACCUGAGCAUUUCUUUUCUUUUCUUUCUUUCUUUUUUUUUUUUAACAUAACAAUUUUUUUAAAAACUAUUUAUUUACCCUAUCUACAUGAGUACACUGUUGGUCUCUUCAGACACACCAGAAGAGGGCAUUGGAUCACAACCAUCCGUAACGAGAUCUGACUCCCUCUUCUGGAAUGUCUGAGGACAGCUACAGUGUACUUACAAUAAAUAAAUAAAUAAAUCGUUAAAAAAAAAAAAAAAAAAAAAAAAAAAAAAAAAAAAAAAAAAGAAAUGUAAGGGGGGGCCCUUGUGGAGUAUAAAGGAUGCUGUCUUUGAUGGCUGGCUCAGAAUUAAUAAACUGUAUGCAUUCACUCAUUUUGAGCACUUUGGCUCAUCUUCAUUAUGCAGUCCUCCUGGGGUUCCUAAACGCAGACUGUGUUGAGAAGAACUCGGUAGCUUUCAGUGGGAAGGGUAGUAGGCUCAAGAAACAAGAGAUGACGAUGAUUUAUUAACUGCUGUUGAAAACUGCACUAACAGAAAAAGUGAAUAAAAUUAUGAUUUAUUAGGUAUUCCAUGAGUAAUAAGAUGAGGUCAGUACAGGUUAGAAUUACUUGUCUUCAUCUUAAUUUAAAAAUACAGAAUUUCUGCGGCAUAGGCUCUUCAUGGUCAUUAAUAUGUUCUAGAACUACAUGCUGAGAAAUGGAGAAAAUCCCUUACUCUGCCAAAUGACAGCCAGAGUCUCCAACUCUGUGCCUUGCCCGAAAUAGGAUCCAUCAAAUACUUGUUAAAUGCACAUAUGUUUUUAACCACACAGAAUAUCAAGUAAUCACCCACGGUCUCCUGGGCUGACAGCCAUUGUUCUAUUGAAGCGGGCUUGAGUUUUGUUGUCUUUUGUUUUCUCAGCCAAAAGUCAUAAGACUCAUAUCUAGCGAAGAGAGUAAUGAAUAUAGAAAAUGACCUUUUCCAGUUUUAAAGCCGUUUCUCAGGAUGAUUUAUACAAUGAAAACUGUAUUUGUUUUAUUAUGUGCUUGUAAACUGGCUGUGAAAGCCGUUCAU
rnacentral:lncRNA from 1 species